AUGAUCUCUCUGCAUGGGUUCCAGCCAGACACAUGGCUGGCAGCUCCGUGCCAAAAACAUGUGAUUUGUAUGCAGAAGAGGGGAAAUCCAUUGUUCAUUUACCUAUGAAAUGGAUCCAGAUUACCACUGCAUUCCGGACGAACUUCAGCUGUAACCAUUGAAAAAAGAAGUGACUCUAUUGAGCGUGAAAAAUGACAAACUCAUCACUGAAGUGAUGUAUCAGGCAGGUUUCAAAACAUAAGGAAGAUAUUACUGGGAACAUAUUCAUCCCCUCAUUACACAAGCUGAAUCAAGGCAAGCAACAUCAAGUGCUUCCUCCCGGCCAUGGCAGAGUUUGAAAACACUUCACACACAAGGUUUAGAUUCAAAACUACAGCUGGAUGUACAAGUCAAAAGUAAUAACAAAAUAAAACCUAGGUAAAUAUAACAAGGAACACUGUAGAUAUUUUUGCUUACCCUUUGGGGAAAUGUAAAUUUCAGGAUACAUUUUUUUUCCAGCAGUUCUGAACUCAGGAUGUUUCAAUCUUUAAAGAAUGUGAGAAUGCUGUCAAAAGUAGUAGAAGCUAUUUCAAUAAGCAGGACCUCACUGUUC